AGUGAACGCUGGCGGUAGGCCUAACACAUGCAAGUCGAACGGCAGCACAGUAAGAGCUUGCUCUUACGGGUGGCGAGUGGCGGACGGGUGAGGAAUACAUCGGAAUCUACUUUUUCGUGGGGGAUAACGUAGGGAAACCUACGCUAAUACCGCAUACGACCUACGGGUGAAAGCAGGGGAUCUUCGGACCUUGCGCGAUUGAAUGAGCCGAUGUCGGAUUAGCUAGUUGGCGGGGUAAAGGCCCACCAAGGCGACGAUCCGUAGCUGGUCUGAGAGGAUGAUCAGCCACACUGGAACUGAGACACGGUCCAGACUCCUACGGGAGGCAGCAGUGGGGAAUAUUGGACAAUGGGCGCAAGCCUGAUCCAGCCAUACCGCGUGGGUGAAGAAGGCCUUCGGGUUGUAAAGCCCUUUUGUUGGGAAAGAAAAGCAGCAGGUUAAUACCCCGCUGUCCUGACGGUACCCAAAGAAUAAGCACCGGCUAACUUCGUG
rnacentral:rRNA from 1 species